rnacentral:rRNA from 1 species
UGGGCCCUACGGGAGGCAGCAGUGGGGAAUAUUGCACAAUGGGGGGAACCCUGAUGCAGCGACGCCGCGUGGGUGAAGAAGUCAUUCGUGACGUAAAGCCCUAUCAGCAGGGAAGAAAAUGACGGUACCUGACUAAGAAGCCCCGGCUAACUACGUGCCAGCAGCCGCGGUAAUACGUAGGGGGCGAGCGUUAUCCGGAUUCACUGGGUGUAAAGGGAGCGUAGACGGCCAUGCAAGCCAGGGGUGAAAGCCCGGGGCCCAACCCCGGGACUGCCCUUGGAACUGCAUGGCUGGAGUGCGGGAGG